rnacentral:rRNA from 1 species
AUUUUGGACAAUGGGGGAAACCCUGAUCCAGCGAUCCCGCGUGUAUGAUGAAGGCCUUCGGGUUGUAAAGUACUUUUGGCAGAGAAGAACAGGUACCUCCUAAUACGAUGUACUGCUGGCGGUAUCGUCUGCAUAAUCACGGGCUAACUACGUGCCAGCAGCCGCGGUAAUACGUAGGGUGCAAGCGUUAGGAGGAAUUACUGUGCGUAAAUCGUGUGUAGGCGGUUCGGAAAGAAAGAUGUGAAAUCCCAGGGCUCAACCUUGGAACUGCAUUUUUAACUGCCGAGCUAGAGUAUGUCAGAGGAGGGUAAAAUUCCACGUGUAGCAGUGAAAUGCGUAGAUAUGUGGAGAAAUCCCGAUGGCGAAGGCAGCCCCCUGGGAUAAUACUGACGCUCAGACACGAAAGCGUGGGGAGCAAACAG